AAUAGAUACCCAGGUAGUCCACGCCGUAAACGAUGAGUGCUAAGUGUUAGGGGGUUUCCGCCCCUUAGUGCUGCAGCUAACGCAUUAAGCACUCCGCCUGGGGAGUACGGCCGCAAGGCUGAAACUCAAAGGAAUUGACGGGGGCCCGCACAAGCGGUGGAGCAUGUGGUUUAAUUCGAAGCAACGCGAAGAACCUUACCAGGUCUUGACAUCUCCUGACCGCCCUGGAGACAGGGUCUUCCCUUCGGGGACAGGAUGACAGGUGGUGCAUGGUUGUCGUCAGCUCGUGUCGUGAGAUGUUGGGUUAAGUCCCGCAACGAGCGCAACCCUUGUCCUUAGUUGCCAGCAUUCAGUUGGGCACUCUAAGGAGACUGCCGGCUAAAAGUCGGAGGAAGGUGGGGAUGACGUCAAAUCAUCAUGCCCCUUAUGACCUGGGCUACACACGUGCUACAAUGGGCGGUACAGAGGGUCGCGAACCCGCGAGGGGGAGCCAAUCCCAAAAAACCGCUCUCAGUUCGGAUUGCAGG
rnacentral:rRNA from 1 species